rnacentral:rRNA from 1 species
GACGAACGCUGGCGGCGUGCUUAACACAUGCAAGUCGAGCGGAAAGGCCCUGCUUUUGUGGGGUGCUCGAGUGGCGAACGGGUGAGUAACACGUGAGUAACCUGCCCUUGACUUUGGGAUAACUUCAGGAAACUGGGGCUAAUACCGGAUAGGAGCUCCUGCUGCAUGGUGGGGGUUGGAAAGUUUCGGCGGUUGGGGAUGGACUCGCGGCUUAUCAGCUUGUUGGUGGGGUAGUGGCUUACCAAGGCUUUGACGGGUAGCCGGCCUGAGAGGGUGACCGGCCACAUUGGGACUGAGAUACGGCCCAGACUCCUACGGGAGGCAGCAGUGGGGAAUAUUGCACAAUGGGCGGAAGCCUGAUGCAGCAACGCCGCGUGCGGGAUGACGGCCUUCGGGUUGUAAACCGCUUUCGCCUGUGACGAAACGUGAGUGACGGUAAUGGGUAAAGAAGCACCGGCUAACUACGUG